GGAAGUUACUUCAGUGUUCCAGUUGCUGGUGUAGCCAGGGCUUCACAGCCUUGAGUGAUGAAAGACAGAUACCAACAAAUGAAAUUAGACUCUCUCUGACUAUCCUCAGAUCAGAAACUCUAGAGACAUGCAGCAGUUUGGGAGGACCAAGUCGGAGCCAGACAUGGAGAGAGAAGAGAGAGUGA
ensembl:lincRNA